rnacentral:sRNA from 1 species
CCAGGGCAAAUCACUCUAUCGCAACCUCGGAGAAGCAAGCAGCUCAGUUUCACUCAAUCGCGAAGCCGGAGGAAUCACCCCAUCAGAACCACUCGAUCACCACUCGAUCACCAGGAAGCCUAUCUGCUCAUUCUGCACUCAACCAGACAAGCUGAGAACAAAGAAGAGAAGAGAAGCCGAAGAAACCACUCGAUCACCACCUUAUGACAUCCACUCGAUCGCACUCGAUCACAGGGUCGCUGGACCAUUCAAUCUCGACUUCACUGCAUCUCACUCGAUCGCAAGACGGAGCCCCUGAAGCCCAGUUUGAUCAAUGACAAACUCGAUCACUAGGAAGCUCAUUUCUGCCGGUCAGAUGCCAAUGACAUAUUCGGUCGCAGGAUCAUGACGUGAAGAUUCGCUAUAUAUUUAGUUUC